rnacentral:rRNA from 1 species
UACAGAGACUGCGAGCGUUAUUCGGAUUCACUGGCGUAAAGCGCGCGUAGGCGGCCCGGUAAGUCCGUUGUGAAAGUCAAAGGCUCAACCUUUGAACGCCGAUGGAUACUGCCGGGCUAGAGUCCGGAAGAGGCGAGUGGAAUUCCUGGUGUAGCGGUGGAAUGCGCAGAUAUCAGGAGGAACACCAAUAGCGAAGGCAGCUCGCUGGGACGGUACUGACGCUGAGGCGCGAAAGCGUGGGGAGCGAACAGG